AACGAACGCUGGCGGCAGGCUUAACACAUGCAAGUCGAACGAUGUAGCAAUACAUAGUGGCGCACGGGUGAGGAACGCGUGGGAAUAUACCUUGUAGUGGGGAAUAACUCCGGGAAACUGGAGAUAAUACCGCAUACGCCCGAGAGGGGAAAGAUUUAUCGCUAUAAGAUUAGCCCGCGUGAGAUUAGGUAGUUGGUGGGGUAAUGGCCUACCAAGCCUGCGAUCUCUAGCUGGUCUGAGAGGAUGAUCAGCCACACUGGAACUGAGACACGGUCCAGACUCCUACGGGAGGCAGCAGUGGGGAAUAUUGGACAAUGGGCGAAAGCCUGAUCCAGCCAUGCCGCGUGAAUGAUGAAGGCCUUAGGGUUGGAAAGUUCUUUCGCCGAUGAAGAUAAUGACGGUAGUCGGCGAAGAAGCCCCGGCUAACUUCGUGCCAGCCGCCGCGGUAA
rnacentral:rRNA from 1 species